rnacentral:misc_RNA from 1 species
CCCAAAAUUUUGGUUCCUUGGUAUGGCUGCAGCAACUUAUGGGGUCUACCAGAGAGAGAACCAAACUGAGGUUUCCUUCUGCGUUCGUUGUGGCCUGCUAGGCGCUUACGACAACUACGUUUACCAUCAUCGAAUUCAUCCAGCAAAUGAAACCUGCUGCACUGCUGACAAAACCUUUGCUCAACGCCAUUAACUAUAACUUUAGGAGUCUUUGA